UAUCAGAGGCUCCAUGAAGGUGCGGGUGCCCACGGAGCGCCUGGGCACCCGUGAGCGGCUCUACGAGUGGAUCAGCAUUGAUAAGGAUGAGGCAGGAGCAAAGAGCAAAGCCCCCUCUGUGUCCCGAGGGAGCCAGGAGCCCAGGUCAGGGAGCCGCAAGCCAGCCUUCACAGAGGCCUCCUGCCCGCUCUCCAGGUUAUUUGAAGAACCAGAGAA
rnacentral:misc_RNA from 1 species